GACAGCAGCCGCCGCGGUAAUACAGAGGGUGCGAGCGUUAAUCGGAUUUACUGGGCGUAAAGCGUGCGUAGGCGGCUUCUUAAGUCGGAUGUGAAAUCCCUGAGCUUAACUUAGGAAUUGCAUUCGAUACUGGGAAGCUAGAGUAUGGGAGAGGAUGGUAGAAUUCCAGGUGUAGCGGUGAAAUUCGUAGAGAUCUGGAGGAAUACCGAUGGCGAAGGCAGCCAUCUGGCCUAAUACUGACGCUGAGGUACGAAAGCAUGGGGAGCAAACAGGAUUAGAUACCCGGGUAGUCCCUGUCUCUUAUAA
rnacentral:rRNA from 1 species